UACGUAGGUGGCAAGCGUUGUCCGGAUUUACUGGGCGUAAAGAGCGCGCAGGCGGUCGUUCAAGUCGCGUGUGAAAGCCCCCGGCUCAACUGGGGAGGGUCACGCGAUACUGAUCGACUCGAAGGCAGGAGAGGGUAGUGGAAUUCCCGGUGUAGUGGUGAAAUGCGUAGAUAUCAGGAAGAACACCAACGGCGAAGGCAGCUCGCUGGGACGGUACUGACGCUGAGACGCGAAAGCGUGGGGAGCAAACAGG
rnacentral:rRNA from 1 species